rnacentral:rRNA from 1 species
UGGGGAAUUUUGGACAAUGGGCGAAAGCCUGAUCCAGCCAUGCCGCGUGAGUGAAGAAGGCCUUCGGGUUGUAAAGCUCUUUUGUCCGGGAGCAAAUCCUGUCCGCUAAUAUCGGACGGGUCUGAGAGUACCGGAAGAAUAAGCACCGGCUAACUACGUGCCAGCAGCCGCGGUAAUACGUAGGGUGCGAGCGUUAAUCGGAAUUACUGGGCGUAAAGGGUGCGCAGGUGGUUAUGUAAGCUUGAUGUGAAAUCCCCGGGCUCAACCUGGGAACUGCAUUGAGGACUGCAUGGCUAGAGUGUGGCAGAGGGGGGUGGAAUUCCGCGUGUAGCAGUGAAAUGCGUAGAGAUGCGGAGGAACACCAAUGGCGAAGGCAGCCCCCUGGGUUAACACUGACACU